UGUUUCCUCGAUAAGAGGGUGCGGCCUGACUUAUAUGAGCCGAAUCUGCCAACGCACGUGUAUUCGAUUUGGGCUAUGUGGACGCCACGGUUAUGAUCUGGUGGCAAGAACACCAGGAUGGUUCGAUCUGUGUUGUAAAGGUGGACGCGGCGAACAACCGCAACAUAUUUGAGCAUAUUGAGCGGGUCCAUAACUUCACAGGAGAGCUUGGCGAUGUUUGGCUUCCACACGAUGCUAAGGCUCGAACCCUUCAGACCGGCAAAUCGAUGGUGGAGCAAUUCCUGGAGAACGAUUUGCGACCACGCAUCGUGCCGGCCCACAAGGUUCGGGAUCGCAUACAGGCAACUCGGCUUACCUUUCCACGCAUCCACAUGGACUCGAACACUACGGAUGACCUCGUGGAGGCGCUCAAGGGCUAUCGGCGCAAAUGGGAUGAGAACCUACUAUGCUUCAGCGACCACCCCCUUCACGACUGGUGUUCAGAUUACGCGGAUGCGUUCGGAUACAUGUGUGUAGUGUGCCGUGCGUCGAACAUGAUCAGGGUGGGACCGGAUGAACAGAAGCUCAUGAAGUACAAUCAAUACCACCUAAACGGACUGUUUGAAGACAACGAGCACCGUGUUCGCAUGGGGCAACGUAGAUUAGCUAGACGCGCAGCAAAAUCGCGAGUAGAAUCGCCCGCAGACAUAGGGGAUGUAAAUGCCGUACAGAUGGACCCAUCUUCCAGUCUCACCUCCACUCCUAUUAAUGACCCAAAGGAGUUGGAUCCGUACCAGCGAUGGUUGGUUGAGAUACGGUAUGCCGAGCAGGAGCUGAAAAAGUUCUGGGAACGUGGCCGCUCAGUCACGAAGCGUUACGUGGAUGAACGUGAUGCGCUCGAUUCCACGAUGAAGUGGUUCAAUCUGUACUACGCAAACACCAAUUUCUCAAGUCGGCACUCUACGCGCAGCUGCCCAAGCCGGCAGUAAGCCGCAGAUACAAGGAUUAUCAGGAUGAUGUGGCCCGCGUCGCCGGCAUGAUCCUUCAGAGAGUGCUUCAGCAGGAUUUUGACGAUCCCAGAGACACCUUCGACUCAUGUAUGAAGCAUUGCGUGGAGGAUCGGCUGGUGCCGGGACUCGCGAUGGCGUGGUGCAGGCUGGAAACCGACACAGAGGACCAGCCCGAAAAGACCAUGGAGGAGGGUGACUAUGAAGGCAAGGGCGAAGACACCGGUCAAACGGGUCACUACGACAAAACGACCAAGCCUGAAGAGUACGAGGAAGGUGAAGCGGACGUCAAUCACGGGUUCAAAACCGGACAACCCGAGGACAGUGCGCCGAAAGUGCCGCCAGAGAAGUUCAAACGCAUCACCGAUCAGCGUGUAAACAUCGAUUACGUGUAUUGGGAGGAUUUUAUCUUCAGUCCAUGCCGUGUAUGGAGGAAGUGCGUUGGAUUGGCCGCCGAUGCUACAUGACACGCGAGGAACUGGUCAAGCGGUUCGGCGCAGAGAAGGGUGAGAAGGUUCCGCUUAAUUACAAACCCACCUCACUGUCCGCAGUGCCUUCCUCGGACUGUGCCGAAGCACGAGGCGCUGUCCAAAGGUGUGGUGUAUGAAGUCUGGGAUCAGGUUGGUCGGUGUGUCUAUUGGCUCUGCAAAGAUUUCGGUGAGAUGCUGGACAAGAAAGAGGAUCCAAUCCAGCUCGUGGGCUUUUUCCCUGGACCACGACCUCUCCUGGCUAACAUGACCACUAGCAAUUGCACUCCUCGACCUGACUAUUAUAUGGUCCAGGAUCAGUACAACGAGCUUGACACGAUCAAUAACCGUAUCAGCUUACUUGUACGCGCGUGCAAGGUGGUUGGCGUUUACGAUAAGGCAUCUGAAGGUGUCCAGCGGAUGCUUCAAGAGGGCACCGACAACUUACUCAUUCCGGUGGACAACUGGGCCAUGUUCGCGGAGCGUGGCGGAGUCAAGGGACAGGUUGAUUGGCUCCCGCUCGACCAAAUUGUUGCCACCUUAGCGCAGUUGUACCAAGCUCGGGAGUCGAUCAAGAAUCAGAUUUACGAGCUGACGGGAUCGCAGACAUUGUCCGUGGCGCGUCGAAGGCAAGUGAGACCCUGGGUGCCCAAGAGAUCAAGG
rnacentral:misc_RNA from 1 species